rfam:Corynebacterium uterequi strain DSM 45634, complete genome.
ACUCGAGCGCGAUCGCCCGGCCCGCCGGCCUCUUGCCGGCUAGUGGUGCGGGGGAGACGACUCGUAGUUCAAUCCUGAGGGA